AUAUGUAAAUAAACUUUUCUUUCCAGUAUCUGUUCUUUUCAGCUUAAUAUCUGAGAAGGGCCCGAGAUGGGUCCUCGAUAUUAACUUUAUUUUUGUAGCGAAGUGGGGUUCUCUGGGCUUGCCCGGAAUCUGCCACGGUCGGUCCUGCAUUGCAGUAUAGCGGGGAUCGGCCCAAUUCCU
rnacentral:snRNA from 1 species